rnacentral:rRNA from 1 species
CGGCCGCGUCGACGUAACACGUGGGCAACCUGCCCUGCAGAUGGGGAUAACUCCGGGAAACCGGGGCUAAUACCGAAUAAAUCGGUCUGUUCGCAGUGAACAGACUCUAAAAGACGGCUUCGGCUGUCACUGCAGGAUGGGCCCGCGGCGCAUUAGCUAGUUGGUAAGGUAACGGCUUACCAAGGCGACGAUGCGUAGCCGACCUGAGAGGGUGAUCGGCCACACUGGGACUGAGACACGGCCCAGACUCCUACGGGAGGCAGCAGUAGGGAAUCUUCCACAAUGGACGGAAGUCUGAUGGAGCAACGCGCGUGAGCGAAGAAGGUUUUCGGAUCGUAAAGCUCUGUUGUGAGGGAAGAACAAGUAUAGGAGUAACUGCCUGUACCUUGACGGUACCUCAUUAGAAAGCCACGGCUAACUACGUGCCAGCAGCCGCGGUAAUACGUAGGUGGCAAGCGUUGUCCGGAAUUAUGGGGUCGACGCGGCGCGAAUU